rnacentral:tRNA from 1 species
GCAUGGGUGGUCCAGUGGAAGAAUCCCCGCCUUCUAUGUGGGAGACCCAGGUUCGGUUCCCGGCCAAUGCC